rnacentral:rRNA from 1 species
AUUGAACGCUGGCGGCAGGCCUAACACAUGCAAGUCGAACGAGUGGCGGACGGGUGAGUAAUGUCUGGGAAACUGCCCGAUGGAGGGGGAUAACUACUGGAAACGGUAGCUAAUACCGCAUACCAUCGGAUGUGCCCAGAUGGGCUUAGCUAGUGGGUGGGGUAACGGCUCACCUAGGCGACGAUCCCUAGCUGGUCUGAGAGGAUGACCACCCCAACUGGAACCGGGCACCGGUCCGGCCUCCUACGGGAGGCAGCAGGGGGGAAUAUUGCACAAUGGGCGCAAGCCUGAUGCAGCCAUGCCGCGUGUAUGAAGAAGGCCUUCGGGUUGUAAAGUACUUUCAGCGAGGAGGCGUUACUCGCAGAAGAAGCACCGGCUAACUCCGUGCCAGCAGCCGCGGUAAUAC